rnacentral:rRNA from 1 species
UACGUAGGGUGCGAGCGUUAAUCGGAAUUACUGGGCGUAAAGCGUGCGCAGGCGGUUUUGUAAGACAGGCGUGAAAUCCCCGGGCUCAACCUGGGAAUGGCGCUUGUGACUGCAAAGCUGGGAGUGCGGCAGAGGGGGAUGGAAUUCCGCGGUGUAGCAGUGAAAUGCGUAGAGUAAUGGCGGAGGAACACCGAUGGCGAAGGCAAC